rnacentral:rRNA from 1 species
AUUGAACGCUGGCGGCAGGCCUAACACAUGCAAGUCGAGCGGAGCGGCGGUCGGGUGAGUAAUGCUUAGGAAUCUGCCUGGGAGUGGGGGAUAACGUUCGGAACCGGGCGCUAAUACUGCAUACUAUCAGAUGAGCCUAGGCCGGAUUAGCUAGUUGGUGGGGUAAAGGCCUACCAAGGCGACGAUCCGUAGCUGGUCUGAGAGGAUGAUCAGUCACACUGGAACUGAGACACGGUCCAGACUCCUACGGGAGGCAGCAGUGGGGAAUAUUGGGCAAUGGGCGAAAGCCUGAUGCAGCCAUGCCGCGUGUGUGAAGAAGGUCUUCGGAUUGUAAAGCACUUUAAGUAGGGAGGCGUUACCAACAGAAUAAGCACCGGCUAACUUCGUGCCAGCAGCCGCGGUAAUUC